AGCCUCCUUCUAAUCUUGUCCAUGCAGUAAAGAGAGAUCAUACAAACCCUGGACUACCUCUUUGAGGUGGGACUCUCAAACUCUUUGAAGUCAGCAGAAUAUGUCAAUGUUUUGGUUGAAGAAGCUGCUUGAAUCUGGGCUUUUCUGGGCCAUGUGUUCUCCCACAACCAGCACUAAGAAAGGCUUUUGGUACAGGCCCAAGACCACCAUAAUCAUCAUUGAUUAUUCCUCUCCACCCCAGUGUCUCUAAAUAAAAUUUCUCUUCUUUCUCUGACAAAGGUGUGUUUGAGUGUUACUGUUCAGCUGAAGAGUGACGUUGGGUGACCUUAGAACCCUAGCCCUUCAUGUAAUCAGUUGGGUGUGAUAAGUAGAGGGAGAACCACAUGAGUCAGGAGGAAAUAUGUAGUUUACCCUUUUUUUCCUGUUUGAAAGAUUUACUAUGAUGUUUGUGGUUGGGCUUUGGUUUGGGAUAAAUUGAGGUGCUUUCUGGAUAUGAUAAGGGCUUAUUUGGUUUGAUAGACCAUCUAAACAAGUCCAGUGCAGGCUAAGACAGGUGAACCACCAGAUCACCACAGUUCACACUUCUCAUUCAUUUGUUAGCAGAAAUGAAGAUGCUUGUUUUCCUAGAAACAAGCCCAGGUCAUCCAUCAUGAAGUCCCGGAAUUGUAAAUGUGAGGAAGUGCAAAGACACAACAUACGCUUACAAAGGCAUAUGUACAUUUGGAACUCUUUAAAGGACAACAUCCUCGAGCUUCUCCUGGGCCUCAGCCAAAACGGAGACAGAAAAUGCAUCAUGCUAACAUUGUUGUAUGUAUGUGUAUGACUACAUAAUAUUCUAUCAUUUUGUUUUAUACAAUCUAUGAACCAACAUCUUAUAUUUACUGCAGUUCUAAUUAUUUUUAUUAAAAUGUAUACAAAAAUUUACAUCUUUGUUCAGUAUUGUCUGUAUUUUUUAUAUUUUCUUAGGAUACAGCUUAUAAAAGUGGAUUUAUAGGGUCAAAUGGGUUAUGUGUUUUCUAAAUUGCUUUUCAGAGAGGUUUCAUUGACCUGUAGUCCCAUCAGCAGUGUGAGAGAGCAUUAAAGGUGAACUUUGGCAAUGACCUGGCAUGGGUGACUAAGAGAGGUUGUAAACUCUUAUUGCUCAGAGGACUUUUAGCACAGUGGAGGCCUCUAUUUAUUUGGGGUAGGUUAGAGCACUAUUCUAUGUGAAUAGAAAAUGUAUGAAGGACAUUCAUUCCGGAUUCCUUGUCUUCCCUGGAUUCUAAAAGUGCUUCUUUAUAGUAUCAGCUGAAAUAAGCAUAUACAAAACACAUAAAAUAGAUUCUUCAAAGAUAAUUCCAUUUUGAGAUAUUUAAUAGAGUUUUCAAAGGUUCUGAAUUUACCUUCCCAUCAUUACACCCUUAUUUUCUGUGUAUCCAUGUACUAAAUGGGUUACCAGGUGUUCCAUGUUCAAAUUUCUAAGAUUAUGUGGGAAAUGAUAACCCAGAUACAUAUUAGAACUCUUGAAAUUUUAAUUUACAUGACCAAGCACCUUGUAGAAGUUCUGACAGUUGAUUGAUAGAAUUGGAGCCCAGUUUCCCUUUGUCCCUUUUGUUUCCCAGGAGUUAAACUAGAAAAUCAGAGGAAAAGAUUAAAAAAUGGAGAUCAAGAGAAAGAGGGAAAAACAAAGACCAGAAUAAACAAAAUUUCAAUUCAUCCCCUGGAUCAGUGAGCACAAGCCAUGCUUCUUGAUUCGAACUCAGGUGAAGGGUGAAAUGCAGCCACAUCUAUAUUUUCCAAUGCCUUAUCUGUCUCCCUUUGCUUCUCUUUGCUUUUCUUAUUUUAUAGGCUCAAAGCACCUUCAUGUCUAUCAUCAACAAUAAAUGGGCCUGGUAUCAUUGGAAAUGUGAAAAAUAGAACGUAAGAAUUUUCAACCUCCUAAAGAAACCCUGGCUCCUCCAUUAUCUCUGAGGUUUCCCAUAAGAUCUCUUAAAAGUUUGUUGUUUUCCAGUGAGAACACAUGGACAUAGGGAGGGGAACAUCACACACU
rnacentral:lncRNA from 1 species